rnacentral:rRNA from 1 species
AUACGGAGGGUGCAAGCGUUAAUCGGAAUUACUGGGCGUAAAGCGUGCGUAGGCGGUUUAUUAAGUCAGAUGUGAAAGCCCCGGGCUUAACCUGGGAACUGCAUUUGAUACUGGUAGACUAGAGUAUGGUAGAGGGGGGUAGAAUUCCUAGUGUAGCGGUGAAAUGCGUAGAUAUUAGGAGGAAUACCAGUGGCGAAGGCGGCCCCCUGGACCAAUACUGACGCUGAGGUACGAAAGCGUGGGGAGCGAACAGGAUUAGAAACCCCAGUAGUCC